rnacentral:rRNA from 1 species
AAAGCAGGUUAAUAUUCCUGCACUUUUCUUAAGUGCGAUGUGGGGACGGAGAAGGUUAGGUCUACCAGGCGUUGGUUGUCCUGGGGAAAGGAGGUAGGCGGUGAUCUUAGGCAAAUCCGGGAUCACUUACGCCGAGCACCGAGACGAGUCCUAUGAGGACGAAGUGACUGACACCACGCUUCCAGGAAAAGCCACUAAGCUUCAGCUUAAGAAAAACCGUACCGCAAACCGACACAGGUAGGCAGGGUGAGAAUCCCAAGGCGCUUGAGAGAACUCGGGUGAAGGAACUAGGAAAAAUGGCACCGUAACUUCGGGAGAAGGUGCGCCCUUUGGUGUGGUCACGUGCGUGACUGAGCAUCGAAGGGUCGCAGUAACCUGGCCGCUGCGACUGUUUAUCAAAAACACAGCACUCUGCAAACACGAAAGUGGACGUAUAGGGUGUGACGCCUGCCCGGUGCUGGAAGGUUAAUUGAUGGGGUCAGCCGCAAGGCGAAGCUCUUGAUCGAAGCCCCAGUAAACGGCGGCCGUAACAAUAACGGUCCUAAGGUAGCGAAAUUCCUUGUCGGGUAAGUUCCGACCUGCACGAAUGGCGUAACGACAGCGGCGCUGUCUCCACCCGAGACUCAGUGAAAUUGAAAUCGCUGUGAAGAUGCAGCGUUCCCGCGGCAAGACGGAAAGACCCCGUGAACCUUUACUAUAGCUUUACACUGAACGUUGAGUUCUUCUGUGUAGGAUAGGUGGGAGGCUAUGAAACCAGGACGCUAGUUCUGGUGGAGCCAUCCUUGAAAUACCACCCUGAAGUGCUUGACGUUCUAACCUAGGCCCGUAAUCCGGGUCAGGGACCGUGUAUGGUGGGUAGUUUGACUGGGGCGGUCUCCUCCCAAAGAGUAACGGAGGAGCACGAAGGUACGCUCAGCGCGGUCGGACAUCGCGCACUGUGUGCAAAGGCAUAAGCGUGCUUGACUGCGAGAUCGACGGAUCAAGCAGGUACGAAAGUAGGUCUUAGUGAUCCGGUGGUUCUGUAUGGAAGGGCCAUCGCUCAACGGAUAAAAGGUACUCCGGGGAUAACAGGCUGAUACCGCCCAAGAGUUCAUAUCGACGGCGGUGUUUGGCACCUCGAUGUCGGCUCAUCACAUCCUGGGGCUGUAGCCGGUCCCAAGGGUAUGGCUGUUCGCCAUUUAAAGUGGUACGCGAGCUGGGUUCAGAACGUCGUGAGACAGUUCGGUCCCUAUCUGUCGUGGGCGUUGGAGAUUUGAGGGGGGCUGCUCCUAGUACGAGAGGACCGGAGUGGACGUUCCGCUGGUGUUCGGGUUGUCAUGCCCAUGGCAUUGCCCGGUAGCUACGAACGGAAGUGAUAACCGCUGAAAGCAUCUAAGCGGGAAGCACGCCCCAAGAUGAGAUCUCCCGAGAGCUUGACUCUCCUAAAGGCACCAUCAAGACUAGGUGGUUGAUAGGUCAGGUGUGGAAGCGCAGCAAUGCGUUGAGCUAACUGUUACUAAUGAGCCGUGAGGCUUGACCAA